UACGUAGGGCGCAAGCGUUGUCCGGAAUUAUUGGGCGUAAAGCGUGCGCAGGCGGUUUUGUAAGUCUGACGUGAAAAUCCCCCGGGCUCAACCUGGGGAAUGGCGAUGAAGACUGCAAAGGCUAGAAUCUGGCAGAGGGGGGUAGAAUUCCACGUGUAGCAGUGAAAUGACGUAGAGAAUGUGGAGGAACACCCGAUGGGCGGAAGGGCA
rnacentral:rRNA from 1 species